UUUAAUUAUUUUUAGUAUUUUUCUUAUUUAAAAGGAUUACUUAUGUGUAUUUUUUUUAAGGCAGGGUUUUAUUUUGAUUUAUUUUUGUUUUAGUUUAUUUCUAUCAGAUGGCGUGCCAGCAGUUGCGGUUAUACGAUUAGAUUCUUAAGGUUUUUAAAAAGGAUAGUUUAUUUUAUUUAUAAUUUUAAAUAAAGGUGAAAUUUUUUUUGAUUUCUUUUUAUUUUGCUUUUUCUUUUAAGUUUUUUUAAAACGGGGAUUAGAUACCCUCUUAUUUUUUCUAGGGGUAUUAAAAGAUUUUCUUUAAACCCAAAGUUUUUGGCGGUUCAAUUACUUUUCAGAGGGGCUUGCUUUUUAAUCGAUAAUCCUCGUUUAAUUUUUCUUUAUUUUUUAAUUCGUAUAUCUCUGUUUUGAUGAUUUUUUGUUAUUUUAUCUUUUUAAUUUUUUUAUUUAAUUCAAGUCAAGGUGCGAUUUAUAAUUUAGAUUGAGUUAGCCACUUUUGAGAUGUUUUUUAAUUUUAUUUUUCUUUUGGAUUUGUUUGUAAUUUUAAAAUAUAAUUUUAUUUUGAUUUAGUUAUGUUGAAUGUUCAUAUCGCCCGUCACUCUAAAAUUUAGAUAAGUCGUAACAAAGUAGAAUUACCGGAAGGUGUUUCUUGUUUA
rnacentral:rRNA from 1 species